GGGGUGACUGCGUACCUUUUGUAUAAUGGGUCAGCGACUUAUAUUCUGUAGCAAGGUUAACCGUAUAGGGGAGCCGAAGGGAAACCGAGUCUUAACUGGGCGUUAAGUUGCAGGGUAUAGACCCGAAACCCGGUGAUCUAGCCAUGGGCAGGUUGAAGGUUGGGUAACACUAACUGGAGGACCGAACCGACUAAUGUUGAAAAAUUAGCGGAUGACUUGUGGCUGGGGGUGAAAGGCCAAUCAAACCGGGAGAUAGCUGGUUCUCCCCGAAAGCUAUUUAGGUAGCGCCUCGUGAACUCAUCUUCGGGGGUAGAGCACUGUUUCGGCUAGGGGGUCAUCCCGACUUACCAACCCGAUGCAAACUGCGAAUACCGAAGAAUGUUAUCACGGGAGACACACGGCGGGUGCUAACGUCCGUCGUGAAGAGGGAAACAACCCAGACCGCCAGCUAAGGUCCCAAAGUCAUGGUUAAGUGGGAAACGAUGUGGGAAGGCACAGACAGCCAGGAUGUUGGCUUAGAAGCAGCCAUCAUUUAAAGAAAGCGUAAUAGCUCACUGGUCGAGUCGGCCUGCGCGGAAGAUGUAACGGGGCUAAACCAUGCACCGAAGCUGCGGCAGCGACACUAUGUGUUGUUGGGUAGGGGAGCGUUCUGUAAGCCGUUGAAGGUGUCCUGUGAGGGAUGCUGGAGGUAUCAGAAGUGCGAAUGCUGACAUAAGUAACGAUAAUGCGGGUGAAAAACCCGCACGCCGGAAGACCAAGGGUUCCUGUCCAACGUUAAUCGGGGCAGGGUGAGUCGACCCCUAAGGCGAGGCCGAAAGGCGUAGUCGAUGGGAAACAGGUUAAUAUUCCUGUACUUGGUGUUACUGCGAAGGGGGGACGGAGAAGGCUAUGUUGGCCGGGCGACGGUUGUCCCGGUUUAAGCGUGUAGGUGUGUGUUCCAGGUAAAUCCGGUUCACUUUAACACUGAGGCGUGAUGACGAGGUACUACGGUGCUGAAGUGACAAAUGCCCUGCUUCCAGGAAAAGCCUCUAAGCAUCAGGUAACACGAAAUCGUACCCCAAACCGACACAGGUGGUCAGGUAGAGAAUACCAAGGCGCUUGAGAGAACUCGGGUGAAGGAACUAGGCAAAAUGGUGCCGUAACUUCGGGAGAAGGCACGCUGAUAUGUAGGUGAAGCGGUUUACCCGUGGAGCUGAAAUCAGUCGAAGAUACCAGCUGGCUGCAACUGUUUAUUAAAAACACAGCACUGUGCAAACACGAAAGUGGACGUAUACGGUGUGACGCCUGCCCGGUGCCGGAAGGUUAAUUGAUGGGGUUAUCCGUAAGGAGAAGCUCUUGAUCGAAGCCCCGGUAAACGGCGGCCGUAACUAUAACGGUCCUAAGGUAGCGAAAUUCCUUGUCGGGUAAGUUCCGACCUGCACGAAUGGCGUAAUGAUGGCCAGGCUGUCUCCACCCGAGACUCAGUGAAAUUGAACUCGCUGUGAAGAUGCAGUGUACCCGCGGCAAGACGGAAAGACCCCGUGAACCUUUACUAUAGCUUGACACUGAACACUGGUCCUUGAUGUGUAGGAUAGGUGGGAGGCUUUGAAGUGUGGACGCCAGUCUGCAUGGAGCCAUCCUUGAAAUACCACCCUUUAAUGGCUGGUGUUCUAACGUGGGCCCGUAAUCCGGGUUGCGGACAGUGUCUGGUGGGUAGUUUGACUGGGGCGGUCUCCUCCCAAAGAGUAACGGAGGAGCACGAAGGUUAGCUAAUCCUGGUCGGACAUCAGGAGGUUAGUGCAAAGGCAUAAGCUAGCUUGACUGCGAGAGUGACGGCUCGAGCAGGUGCGAAAGCAGGUCUUAGUGAUCCGGUGGUUCUGAAUGGAAGGGCCAUCGCUCAACGGAUAAAAGGUACUCCGGGGAUAACAGGCUGAUACCGCCCAAGAGUUCAUAUCGACGGCGGUGUUUGGCACCUCGAUGUCGGCUCAUCACAUCCUGGGGCUGAAGUAGGUCCCAAGGGUAUGGCUGUUCGCCAUUUAAAGUGGUACGCGAGCUGGGUUUAGAACGUCGUGAGACAGUUCGGUCCCUAUCUGCCGUGGGCGCUGGAGAAUUGAGGGGGGCUGCUCCUAGUACGAGAGGACCGGAGUGGACGCAUCACUGGUGUUCGGGUUGUCAUGCCAAUGGCACUGCCCGGUAGCUAAAUGCGGAAAAGAUAAGUGCUGAAAGCAUCUAAGCACGAAACUUGCCCCGAGAUGAGUUCUCCCUGAGACUUUAAGUCUCCUGAAGGAACGUUGAAGACGACGACGUUGAUAGGUCGGGUGUGUAAGUGUAGCGAUACAUUGAGCUAACCGAUACUAAUGAACCGUGAGGCUUAACCUUACAACGCCGAAGCUGUU
rnacentral:rRNA from 1 species